GACGAACGCUGGCGGCAUGCCUUACACAUGCAAGUCGAACGGCAGCACGGGUGCUUGCACCUGGUGGCGAGUGGCGAACGGGUGAGUAAUACAUCGGAACGUACCUUAUCGUGGGGGAUAACGCAGCGAAAGCUGUGCUAAUACCGCAUACGCCCUGAGGGGGAAAGCGGGGGAUCGAAAGACCUCGCGCGAUUAGAGCGGCCGAUGCCUGAUUAGCUUGUUGGUGGGGUAAAAGCCCACCAAGGCGACGAUCAGUAGCUGGUCUGAGAGGACGAUCAGCCAAACUGGGACUGAGACACGGCCCAGACUCCUACGGGAGGCAGCAGUGGGGAAUUUUGGACAAUGGGGGCAACCCUGAUCCAGCAAUGCCGCGUGAGUGAAGAAGGCCUUCGGGUUGUAAAGCUCUUUUGUCAGGGAAGAAACACCGGCUCUAACACAGUCCGGGAAUGACGGUACCUGAAGAAUAAGCACCGGCUAACUACGUGCCAGCAGCCGCUGUAA
rnacentral:rRNA from 1 species